GAGCCCAUUCUCCCGUGACGGUGACUCCAACGGUUGGCUGAGGACGAUUCCCUGAGCCUUGACAAAGCAGGAGCCCUCCGUGGCGGUGCGUCGGUGUCGAGGCUCCAGUCUGACUAAUCCAGGGGGUCGACAAAACAGAUUCGGGACACUAUGCUACACGGAGGGCCUACCAGGAUGCAGAAACAGCAGACGGAGUCCAGGGAAAGCAGUGCGGCAUCCCAGCCUCAGGCCUGCCCGUACGGUGUUCGGAAAUACUAGGCUUUAGAAUUUCACCAUAUGAAUUUUGGGAGAGAGGAGCACAGUUCAGCCCAUAACUAACACACGAUAGCAAGACAAAUCUCUCCUCUGCCUUCUCCUUAUCAGACUACUCAACAUGAAGGCAAUAAGAAUGAAGACCUCUAUGUAUAAUAAUUGACUUCCACUUAAUAAAUAAGGUUACUUGGUACACUGGUCGACAAAACCUUGAAAUGUUGAUGUUUAAGGGCUGUUGAUUGCUGGCAGCAAAGAAGUCCAACUGUGCUGGUACCCGAGAUAGCGUCUCCACAUUUUCUUCCAGGAUCAUCACCUUUGUUCUAAAUAGCUCCCACAUAGUGUGAACAGAAGUCAUAUGUUUUAGAUUUUCUGCCUUGGCACCCAGGAAACCAGUAUGAUUGAGUAAACAUAUUAAACUUCCUCUGCAUUUCCAGCCUGAACAGAUGUUGAGUACAAGCUGAUCCACCUACGUUCAACCUGAGAGAGUCCACAUCCACAGACUGUUUCAUUUCCCUUUUUCAAUUUACAUAGAAGCAUAGAUUCUUGCUGGCAUAUACAAAUGCGCCAUUUAAGGCAAUCAAAAAUGGUUCCACAUCUCAUCUGAUUUCCACAAUUGUUGCUGUAACGAUGGACUACUGAGGAGAGAGACAAUUUCUCUGGCACAUCUUCCCACAUUUUAGCAACAUGUUCAUGGAGAGCCAAUAUUCAGUAAUUACAGCCCAAUUCCUCACAAUUUCACAAUUCGCUAACAAUAUGCAUUUUCACAAUGUAAAGCUGAUUUUCCUUUAACCAAAUCAAACAUGAAAAGAUAGCUGCAUGCAAUGGGCAAUCUAGAUCAUUAGAAGAUUGAUGUAAAAUUAGAGGACACUGAGACUGGAAUAGAUUGCAAACUUCAGGGAGCUCAGAAAACUUGUAAACUCUACAUUUUGAGGAAAUAUGUUGUCGAUGCUUUUGCAACUCUAUGCAGUAACUUAACAAAUAAAGCCUUAAAGUAACU
ensembl:lncRNA MIR663AHG MIR663A host gene